GCGGAUGUGGCGAAAUUGGUAGACGCACCAGACUUAGGAUCUGGCGCCGCAAGGUGUGUGGGUUCGAGUCCCUCCAUCCGCA
rnacentral:tRNA from 1 species